CCUACGGGUGGCUGCAGUGGGGAAUAUUGGACAAUGGGCGAAAGCCUGAUCCAGCCAUGCCGCGUGUGUGAAGAAGGCCUUCGGGUUGUAAAGCACUUUCAGUGGGGAAGAAAGCCUUGGGGCUAAUACCCUCGAGGAAGGACAUCACCCACAGAAGAAGCACCGGCUAACUCCGUGCCAGCAGCCGCGGUAAUACGGAGGGUGCGAGCGUUAAUCGGAAUUACUGGGCGUAAGGCGCGCGUAGGCGGUCUGAUAAGCCGGUUGUGAAAGCCCCGGGCUCAACCUGGGAACGGCAUCCGGAACUGUCAGGCUAGAGUGCAGGAGAGGAAGGUAGAAUUCCCGGUGUAGCGGUGAAAUGCGUAGAGAUCGGGAGGAAUACCAGUGGCGAAGGCGGCCUUCUGGACUGACACUGACGCUGAGGUGCGAAAGCGUGGGUAGCAAACAGGAUUAGAUACCCCUGUAGUC
rnacentral:rRNA from 1 species